GGGAGCCGCAGGGAAACCGAGUCUUAACUGGGCGUUAAGUUGCAGGGUAUAGACCCGAAACCCGGUGAUCUAGCCAUGGGCAGGUUGAAGGUUGGGUAACACUAACUGGAGGACCGAACCGACUAAUGUUGAAAAAUUAGCGGAUGACUUGUGGCUGGGGGUGAAAGGCCAAUCAAACCGGGAGAUAGCUGGUUCUCCCCGAAAGCUAUUUAGGUAGCGCCUCGUGAAUUCAUCUUCGGGGGUAGAGCACUGUUUCGGCUAGGGGGUCAUCCCGACUUACCAACCGAUGCAAACUACGAAUACCGAAGAAUGUUAUCACGGGAGACACACGGCGGGUGCUAACGUCCGUCGUGAAGAGGGAAACAACCCAGACCGCCAGCUAAGGUCCCA
rnacentral:rRNA from 1 species